UACGAAGGGGGCUAGCGUUGCUCGGAAUUACUGGGCGUAAAGGGCGCGUAGGCGGACAGUUUAGUCAGAGGUGAAAGCCCAGGGCUCAACCUUGGAACUGCCUUUGAUACUGACUGUCUUGAGUUCGGGAGAGGUGAGUGGAACUGCGAGUGUAGAGGUGAAAUUCGUAGAUAUUCGCAAGAACACCAGUGGCGAAGGCGGCUCACUGGCCCGGUACUGACGCUGAGGUGCGAAAGCGUGGGGAGCAAACAGG
rnacentral:rRNA from 1 species